rnacentral:rRNA from 1 species
UACGUAGGGCGCAAGCGUUGUCCGGAUUUAUUGGGCGUAAAGAGCUCGUAGGCGGUCUGUCGCGUCGGAUGUGAAAACCCGGAACUCAACUCCGGGCCUGCAUUCGAUACGGGCAGACUUGAGUACUGCAGGGGAGACUGGAAUUCCUGGUGUAGCGGUGGAAUGCGCAGAUAUCAGGAGGAACACCGGUGGCGAAGGCGGGUCUCUGGGCUGACACUGACGCUCAUGCACGAAAGCGUGGGGAGCAAACAGG